GUUGAGGGCAGGUUUAGGGGCAGUUUCACUUGUUGAGGGCAUUUUUUGGGCUUUUUUUACUUGGUGAGGGCAGGUUUGGGGGUAGUUUUACAAGAGGAUAUGAGGUUUUGGGCUACUUUUCACCCAGGGUGGUAGAUUUGGGGACAGUAUUCCUUGGUGAGGAAAGGUUUUGGGCUGUUUUUUGCCCAGGGCCGGUAGAUUUGGGGGUAAUUUUUCUCAUUGAGGGCAGGUUUGGGGGUAAUUUUUCUAGGUAAGUGUCAAUUAGGAGUGAAAUUUUGGCCCUUUUUUUUUUUUUUUUUUAUCCAGGGGAGGGCAGGUUUGAGGCAGUUUUACUUGGUAAGGGUAGAUUUGGGGGCAGUUUUACCCAGGGAGAGCAGGUUUAAGGGUACUUUUACUCGAAAAGGGCAGGUUUUGGGGUAGUUUUACUUGGUAAGGCUAGUUUAGGGGGCAGUUUUACCUGGGGAGGACAGGUUUUGGGCUGUUUUUUUUACCAGCUCCAUUAAGUUAUGUGAACUUGUUUGUGUUCUUUAUCUCAAAUUGUCAUGGUAAGUUUUGAAUGUUGAACUCAAGUUUAUAAGUUUUAGAAAAUUAAAGUUAAAGUAAUUAAUUGUCUUAACUAUUU
ensembl:lncRNA